GGCUCAGAUUGAACGCUGGCGGCAUGCCUUACACAUGCAAGUCGAACGGCAGCACGGGAGCAAUCCUGGUGGCGAGUGGCGAACGGGUGAGUAAUAUAUCGGAACGUGCCCGGUCGUGGGGGAUAACGUAGCGAAAGCUACGCUAAUACCGCAUACGAUCUAAGGAUGAAAGCGGGGGACUCGCAAGAGCCUCGCGCGAUUGGAGCGGCCGAUAUCAGAUUAGGUAGUUGGUGGGGUAAAGGCUCACCAAGCCAACGAUCUGUAGCUGGUCUGAGAGGACGACCAGCCACACUGGGACUGAGACACGGCCCAGACUCCUACGGGAGGCAGCAGUGGGGAAUAUUGGACAAUGGGCGAAAGCCUGAUCCAGCCAUGCCGCGUGUGUGAAGAAGGUCUUCGGAUUGUAAAGCACUUUAAGUUGGGAGGAAGGGUAGUAACCUAAUACGUUGCUACUUUGACGUUACCGACAGAAUAAGCACCGGCUAACUUCGUG
rnacentral:rRNA from 1 species